rnacentral:rRNA from 1 species
GACGAACGCUGGCGGCGUGCUUAACACAUGCAAGUCGAACGGGCCCGCCCCUGUUUUUGGGGGUGGGUUGAGUGGCGAACGGGUGAGUAUCACGUGAGUAACCUGCCCCCUGCUCCUGGAUAACUGCUUGAAAGGGCGGCUAAUACGGGGUGUGCCGGCUGGUCCGCAUGGGCCUGGUCGGGAUAGUUUCAUCUUCGGGUGUUUCGGUGGGGGAUGGGCUCGCGGCCUAUCAGCUUGUUGGUAGGGUGAUGGCCCACCAAGGCGGUGACGGGUAGCCGGCCUGAGAGGGUGGGCGGCCACACUGGGACUGAGACACGGCCCAGACUCCUGCGGGAGGCAGCAGUGGGGGGUAUUGCACAAUGGGCGGAAGCCUGAUGCAGCGACGUCGCGUGAGGGAUGGAGGCCGUCGGGUGGUGAACCUCUUUCUCCGGUGGUGAAGGCCCUGUCCGUUGCGGCGGGGUUGACGGUAGCCGGGUAUGAAGCGCCGGCUAACUACGUG